AGGAGAGGGCCUCCCAAACCCGGGAAAGAGUGAGGGUCAUGAUGCAGAGGAAUGAGUGCUCUGGGGAUAUGAAAAACUCAAGCUUGAGCACAGCCUGCGAUGAGUCUCCAGGUCAUGCUGUUGCAAGAGGUAUGUUCCCAUGGUCUUGGAUAGCUCCACCUCUGUGGUUUUGCAAGAUACUGCCUCCAUCCUGGCUGCUUUCAUGGACUGGCAUUGAGUGUCUAUGGCUUUUCCAGGUCUUUUAGGCUGACUGACUGCCCCAUGGACACCAUGUUAACAUCUGUGACCUGCAUGGACACUCCAGAUGAGUUCCUGGAAAAUCUGAAGAACCUGGAAGACCAUGAAAAGGGGAAGAAAUGAUCAACCCCUGUGAAGCCUACUUAACUUUGAGACAUUCUCUAUUGUUCCUUAUUCCUGCCCCAAUUGAUAAGGCUAUUGGACUUUGUAACUGACCUUACCAACCUCGUGACUCUAGACCCUACGACCCCCUCCCAGCUUGCAAAAAACCACGCUAAAAUAUAGCUCCUAUAACUUUCCACUGCUUUCCCCACAACCUAUAAAACCAACUCCUAUAUCACCCCUUUUGCUGACUCUUUUCAGACUCAGCCUGCCCACACCCGUGUGAAUAAACAGCCAUGUUGUUCACACAAA